rnacentral:rRNA from 1 species
AGUGAACGCUGGCGGUAGGCCUAACACAUGCAAGUCGAACGGCAGCACAGUAAGAGCUUGCUCUUACGGGUGGCGAGUGGCGGACGGGUGAGGAAUACAUCGGAAUCUACUUUUUCGUGGGGGAUAACGUAGGGAAACUUACGCUAAUACCGCAUACGACCUACGGGUGAAAGCAGGGGACCUUCGGACCUUGCGCGAUUGAAUGAGCCGAUGUCGGAUUAGCUAGUUGGCGGGGUAAAGGCCCACCAAGGCGACGAUCCGUAGCUGGUCUGAGAGGAUGAUCAGCCACACUGGAACUGAGACACGGUCCCGACUCCUACGGGAGGCAGCAGUGGGGAAUAUUGGACAAUGGGCGCAAGCCUGAUCCAGCCAUACCGCGUGGGUGAAGAAGGCCUUCGGGUUGUAAAGCCCUUUUGUUGGGAAAGAAAAGCAGCAGGUUAAUACCCCGCUGUUCUGACGGUACCCAAAGAAUAAGCACCGGCUAACUUCGUG